GACGAACGCUGGCGGCGUGCUUAACACAUGCAAGUCGAACGGUGAAGGGACCGGUUUUUGCUGGUUCUGGAUGAGUGGCGAACGGGUGAGUAACACGUGAGUAACCUGCCUCCUUCUUCUGGAUCACCGCAUGAACGUGUGGCUAAUACGGGAUAUUCUGCGCCUGCUGCAUUGAGGGUGUGGGAACGAUAUUGUUUCGGCGGGGGAGGGGCUCGGGGCCUAUCAGCUUGUUGGGGGGGUGAUGGCCUACCAAGGCGGUGCCGGGUAGCCGGCCUGGGAGGAUCGGCGGCCACGCUGGGGCGACGCCACCGCCGCGACUACUGCGGGCGGCAGCAGUGAGUAUUAUUGAACGAUGGGCGAAAGGCUGAUGCAGCGCCGCCGCGUGAGGGAUGGUGGCCUUAGGGUUGUACACCUCUUUCGCGAGUGAAGCAAGGCGGUCCCUUUUGUGCGUGGGUUGACGGUAGCUGGAUAAGAAGCGCCGGCUAACUACGUG
rnacentral:rRNA from 1 species